rnacentral:rRNA from 1 species
UACAGGAGGUCCCGAGCGUUGUUCGGAUUCACUGGGCGUAAAGGGUGCGCAGGUGGGCUGGUAAGUUCCGAUGUGAAAGCCCCGGGCUUAACCCGGGAAAGGCAUUGGAUACUACUGGUCUGGAGGAUUGGAGGGGGGACUGGAAUUCUUGGUGUAGCAGUGAAAUGCGUAGAUAUCAAGAGGAACACCAGUGGCGAAGGCGAGUGCCCUGGACAAUACCUGACACUGAGGCAACGAAAGCCAAGGGAGCAAACAGG